UGGGGAAUAUUGCGCAAUGGGGGAAACCCUGACGCAGCCAUGCCGCGUGAGUGAAGAAGGUCUUCGGAUCGUAAAGCUCUUUCAACGGUGAAGAUGAUGACGGUAGCCGUAGAAGAAGCCCCGGCUAACUUCGUGCCAGCAGCCGCGGUAAUACGAAGGGGGCAAGCGUUGUUCGGAAUUACUGGGCGUAAAGGGGCGUGUAGGCGGUCUAAUCAGUCAGAGGUGAAAGCCCUGGGCUCAACCCAGGAAUGCCUUUGAUACUGUUAGACUAGAGUUCGGGAGAGGGUAGUGGAAUUCCCAGUGUAGAGGUGAAAAUUCGUAGAUAUUGGGAAAGAACACCAGUGGCGAAGGCGGCUACCUGGACCGAUACUGACGCUGAGGCGCGAAAGCGUGGGGAAGCAAACAGGAUUAGAUACCCUGGUAGUCCACGCCGUAAAACGAUGUCUGCUAGUCGUUGGGGGGCCGUAGCCCUUCAGUGACGCCGCUAACGCAUUAAGCAGACCGCCUGGGGAGUACGGCCGCAAGGUUAAAA
rnacentral:rRNA from 1 species